rnacentral:ncRNA from 5 species
UGACCUCGGAUCAGGUAGGAAUACCCG